CAUUACCAUCCAAACAGCCUCUCAUUCCUGAUUCCCUUUUCCAACCCAAGCUGCAAAGAGCCAGCUACCUACCAUGGAAAGUAACAAUUAAAGCUGGAUGAGGUUUUAUACAAAAAGAAGAAAAGAUGAUCUCUUUCUUGUGCUCCCUGUGUAGCUCCAGGGGUUUGAAGGAAACCGCUGAGACACUGUGAUGACCGGCUGGGCAGGAGCCUGCCACUCGAAGGCCAGGUUUCUCUUCCGGGACUUGUCAGAGUGGGUGACUGUGUCAGCCUCUUGAACACAAGCCAUCGGUUUGGAAUGAGGAGGGAUGGAAACAAAAGUGCCAGCUAUUUGAUGAUCAGAGACUCUUCGAGCCUGUAGUAGAAAUCCCAUGAAAUCCCGACUGCUUCUCACGGUCACUGCAACGGAACACAUCCAUUCAGGGAUGAAGUCAAACUUUAGCCAAGAAGACACAUGCUUGGGACAAGUACAACUUGGAAUUUGUCACUAGGGCUUGGGGGUCUCUCAAAGCUCUCCCAUACAUACCUGGAACGAUGUCUCCCGCUCCCCAGAUGAUUCAUAUGCACACUAAGGCCUAGAAGUACUGCUCUGGAGAAUCUGCCCAGGUCUCAGCCCAUGGAAGAGCCCACACACACCACACAACAACCUCCCAUGUCACCAUGACUGAUUAGCCAGAGAUGGCCACCUUAUCGGAGACCAGGAAACCCACUGAUUGGGCAGCAACCAAUCAGCUACCUUGAGAAUUUGGACUUUUCAAGGAACACAGAUCAUUCAAGCUGAAAGGGUAAGACAAACUAGGGUUGGAAUAGGGUGACAGGGCAAGUCACAACUGAAUUUCAUUCUUGACAGCUCUCUGAGGAGUUCUCCCUUACUGGAACUCAUUUGAGGGGCUUUUUGUGUGUUUGCUUGUUUGUUUUCAUUUUUCCACCUAUGAAAUUUGACUGUGGAGUCCUGAACAAGGCCUGGCGUGUUUAAGAUGUUCUCGGAGAGAAGGUUGCAAGGGAGGAGGAAAGCAUCCAAACUUUGAAGGGAUUUUCAUAUCAUAGUGAGGAGGUCAAACCAUAUCCAGUGAGAAAGAAAGGAGCUACUGUGGCUGUUUAAGCAGUAGAGUAGCAAGACAGGCAGCUGGAGUUCCACGAAGGCAGUUCUGGAAACAUCCGGAGAGCCAGAGCCAGAGCCAGAGCCAGAGAUUAGGGCCGUGGAGGAGCCUGCUGUAUUGCAGGCCAGUAAGAAAUGAGAGGGUGAGCAAUGAUGGUGCGGGACCAGAGGGAUGGACUCAGGAGAUCCUCUGGAAGUAGACUUGGUAGGGUGUGGUGACUGGCUGAAUGUAGGGUGCCAGAAGAAAAUUCUAGCAUGGACCCUGUGGGGUGAUAUGGAGUAGGAGGCUCCAGAGACAGCAACGGCUGGACCAUCAGGCCUAGUUUCCAUUCCAGAAAUCUUAAGGAAGUGAAUGACUUAACGAGGAAAGCACUCAUUCAGAGACUACAGUCCUAUCCCUGUAAUUUUAGGGGGCCUGCUUAGCUUGUCAUGGCAAGUAUGAAUGAGGCAAUUAACCUUAUAACCACCAAAGGAAGUUGAGCUUCCUUGGCCUAGGCCUCUGGUAUUCCCGAUGCAGAGUGAAAUCAAACUGAGUAAAUCUGGCUCCUCUAAGCCUCUGUCCCAGCAGGAGGGAGGAAAUCUCCAUCUUUUGUUGAGUCAUAAGGGAAUCUGGUAGGCCUAGAAUAUUAGGGUGAAGGACUUCCAUUGCUAUUAUCCUAGUUUUCUAAGCUCUUGUGGUCACUUAAAGGCUGUUCGCUCACAUGCUUCCCAGAAAAGAAGGGUUCAAGUCCAGCCAGGCUGAGGGGCUCCCUAGAUGAACUGGGUGGCCUCUCCUCUCUGAAGUUCAGCCACCCCCUCCACUGGGUACUGCUACAAGCAGGACAGAUCCCUGCUACUACGAGGAGCGUGGUUAACCUCUUCACUCCCCACGUAGUCUCAGGACCAAAAUCUCCCUGCUCUCCCUCCCCCUCCCUGGUCACCUGGCCUAGUCUACCCCCAUAGGUGGAGGGGCAAUCUACUGACACUUCUGCUUUGGUUCUGCAACCCGAAUUCUCCUGAUGUGGAGGUCCUAAAAGGCCAGCUAGCAGAUUAAAGAGGGGAUGGCAAAGAGGUAGAGCAAACGUAAAUGGCUCAAUAAUAAUCCUGCCACUUUCCCAUGUAAUACUUUUCCUUGGAUACCAGGAGGACAUCUUAUCCUGGAUGUGGCCCCCAUUGCCAUCACACCCCCAGCCUCCCCUGAGUCAGCAGCAUGCUCUGCACCACUCCCUCCACAGAGCCGAUUGGUACCAGAGCAGCCACCUGAUGGUGGGGAGGCUCUCCUCCUCGGGCAGGGCUGAACCACAUCCUCUCCUGAGAAUCUCACAGAGAACAUAGAAGGUUUCUCUAUAUCAGCACUGGCCAAUAGAAACAUAAUGCAAGCAUUCAUAGGGGCACAUGGACCCCAGUGUUUAUAGCAGCACUUUCAACAAGAACCAAAUCAUGGAAAGAGCCCAAAUGUCAUCAACUGAUGAAUGGAUAAAGAAGAUGUGGUUUAUAUAUACAAUGGAAUACUACUUGGCAAUGAGAAAGAAUGAAAUCUUGCCAUUUGCAACAACGUGGAUGGAACUGGAGGGUAUUAUGCUGAGUGAAAUAAGUCAGUCAGGGAAAGACAGGUUAUUAUAUGUUUUCACUCAUCUGUGGAACUUGAGAAACUUAACAGAAGACUGUGGGGGAAGGGGAAGGGGAAAAAAUAGUUUCAAACAGAGAGAGACAAAUCCAUAAGAGACUCUCAAAUAUAGAGAACAAACUGAGGGUUGAUGGGGGCAGGGGAGUGGAGAAAAUGUGUGACGGGCAUUGAGGAGGACACUUGUUGGGAUGAGCACUGGGUGUUGUAUGUAAACGAUGGACCACAGGAAUCUACCCCUGAAACCAAGAGCACACUUUACACACUGUGUGUUAGCCAAUUUGACAAUAAAUUAUAUUUUUUUAAAAAAGAAACAUAAUGCAAGCCACAUAUGUAAUUUAAAUUCUUCUAAUUGUCAUUUUAAAAAACUGUUUGUUUAUUUUGAGAGAGAGAGAGAGAGAAAGUCACAAGCAGGGGAGGGGCAGAGAGAGAGGGAGAGAGAGAAUCCCAAGCAGGCUCUGCGGACGUGGGACUCAAUCCCAUGAACCAUGAGAUCAUGAACUGAGCCGAGAUCAAGAGUCAGACUCUUAACCGACUGAGCCACCCAGGCACCCCUCUAAUUAUCUUUUUUUUUUAAAGUAAAGAAACAAGUGCAAUUUAUUCUAAUAAUACAUUGAUCUAACUCAUUAUUUUGAAAACAUUAUCAUUUCACAUGCAAUCACAUAAAAAAGCAUUAGCAAGGUAUUUUGCUUUCUUUUUGCACAGUAUUUGCUAUGCAGUAUAUAUUUUACACUUCCAGCAUAUCUCAGUCCAGACUACCCACAUUUAAAAUACUCAGGAAACAAAAAAGAAAAAGAAAAGAAAGUACUCAAAAACCGUAGCUUCUGAGUUGCUACCAUAUUGGGCAGCACAGGUUGAAACCAAGAAAGGUGGUUGAGCAAAGAGGUCAUGAUGUGGGGUCAGGCUAUGUCGUACCAUGAGCAAGACAGGUAAGAAAAAGCAGUGCAGCUGAGGGGAAACAAUAGUAAAUACAAAUAAUAACACAUUUACACGGUGAUUAUGUAGUACAGGCAUUGGUCUACUAAACUGGUUAGUUAGUUAAUUACCUCAUUAAUACUCACAAUGACACUAUGAGGUCCAUCUCAUUAUCAUUCCGUUUUAGAGGUGGGGAAAAGGAGUCACAGCAUUUACACAACUUGUCAAAGAUCGCACAGCUUUCAGGCUGUGGUAGAUAGGGCUCCUUAUCACAGCUUUGCCACCCACUACCUCUGGAACCUGAUCUACAAAAUAAAGAUAACUGUAAUUCUUGUACCCGUAUCCCAAAGUUCUCCUGAAGUUUCACCGAAGAAUAAAUAAUAAGCAGUUAGCCCUUUGCAUGGGAAGGGCUUAAAACACAUUUCGUUUGGGGAAACAGAAGCUGGCAGAGCUAUGGAGAUAACAGAGCCUAUGCAGAGGAGGGGUCCCUGUGCCAUGUGGCCCCUGACAGGUGAGAGAGAGAGAGAAUGAUCACGAGAGAGCAAGAGGGAAAACAAGGACCAAAGCAGGAGCAAGGCAGAGCUCAUCCCAGGCUCCUCUGGAGUCCAAUCCCCAUUCCAGCAUGAAGAAAACCAAGCUGUGUACACCAGAAAAGUGAGAAAACAUUGGGUUUUUGCUUGAAUCUGCUCCAGUCGUUUCACACUAACAAUUUAGCUGCACCUGAUGUAACAUGACUAAAUCCUUACAUUAACAUCCCAUGGCCCUGACUAGAAUGAUUAUAUUAGGAAAUACGGGAUCAGUCUCCUGGUGGGUUCUACGGUUACAAAUUAGAAGCUUGUCCUUCUGCAAAUCACUUAACUUCUCUGGGUCACCUCAGGUAUAAAAUAAGAGGCUUGAAUUAAAUAAUCUCUUAGAUUUCUUCCAGGUUGAGAAUUACACAUAUUUUUAAAGUUUUAUUUUAGCCAUAAAGGUAGAAGAAUGAGGUACUCUGAGAACACCUUGAGAUGACGCGGUAUGGCACAUAAUUACGGACUGGCGUAUAAACACUACCUGCACGGACAUGAUCCUGCGUCACUACUGGUUUAGGAGUCAGCCUUAAAACGGUUUUGGCAAAUGCCCAUUGGGUCCUCAGAAAGGAGGGACCAGCGGGGCAACAGAGCUCACUAUGCCAGUCCUGCCUCCGGGACCUUAACUCCAGCCGACAGGUGGACAUUCUGUCAGGCUCAGUCUCUAGAAAUAGAGCCAGUGCCUUCGGUCACUCAUAAAUUCAUGCCCUGGUCAUGAAUUUCCAUUGAAAUGGACUGGUGUUUUUACAUAGAUAUUGGCUAUUCUAGUGUCAUUAUUGUAGUGAGCAUUUUAAUAUUUACCUAGAUAAUUUUUUUAAGCCUACAGAUUUCUGGAGUGCUGGGACAACGUGUGUAAGAAAAGAGAAAGAUUCUCAUUUUCUUCAAACUCUACUUUAAUUUACUUAAGAAAUGGGGACUCAAUGGGCAUUUCUGUACAUUUAGCGGGCUUGGUGACUUGCUUCACUCUCCAGACUAUAGUUCACUUUGUUCCAUUAAAAAAAAAAAAAAAAAAAAGGAUGGCAUAGUGCUCCUUUUUCUAUCCAAUUAUCCUCUCCUCCAUUCUCCCUAUUAAAGAACAAUACAGACAAAGAGGCCAUUAAAACUAAUCGCUAUUUGAAUGCUUAUUAUUUGCAAAGCAAUACCUAAGACCAUCUGUGAUGCAACAAAGAAUCAGCAGGAUCUCUUCUCACUUCUAGAAGGUUAAUGUUUUACUGGGGGUGAGGCAGUAAGAUGGAGAAGAAAGAGCUCUGGAGGCAGACAGCCAGUUUUGUCACCUUAGGUUAAUUAAUGUUGGUGAGCUUCAUGUCUCCCAUCUGUACAAUGGGCACACUGUUAGAUUCCUCACAAGAAUGUUGCAAGGACCAGAUGUGCUAGCACAGGGAUGCACAGAAGUAAGUGCAAGCUGUUGUCGGAAAGGAGAUAAAGCCAGGCUACCAGAACUGAGAGCAGAGAGGGGUAGUUCAACUAGAAGCAAGAAGAGAUGGUUGCUCUUAGAGGUGAGGUGGGGUUUGGAUAGAGAGGGGUAACAGAACAUUCCAAGCAGGAAGGAUAGCUUGAAGAAAGGUAUUGAAAGUGGAAGGGGCAGAUGGGAUGGUGUUUGCAGUCAUUAUCCAGAAAUAGAAUAAGGGACACCUGAUAUAGGGUGAUAGAGACAGGGAUGUUGACGAGAGUAGAUGGAAGCAAAAGGAAGAAUCAGAAAGAUUUAGAGAUUGUUUGUACGGAGGCCAAAGAGGUUUAAAAAUAAGAAAGAAAAAAGAUCGGUAUUUAGAAAGCCUGAGCGAAUAAUAUAACUGACAUCCACCUGAUGAAAGAGGGAAGUUUAUGGUGUUCAAUUUUAGAUAUGCUGAGGACGCCCUCAGCACUCAUUUACUCCUUCAGCCAGCCUUUAAGUAAAUGCCUAUCAAAUGCAGGCCAUGUGCGCGGGGCUGGGGAUACGAAGAUGAGUAACACAGAGUGUCAGACAGGCUGACAAUGGAGACUAAGGUGUCAGCAGAUAAUCACAGAACAAUGGGAUAAACGAUUAGGGGAGAGAUGAUCACAUAUUUAUUACGGCAGUAUAGAAAAAGAGUAUCAGGGGAUCCAAAUUUCCUUUUCCCUUUCUAAAAACCCAAACGUUCACAUCUUGCAACUGGAUGCCAGAAAUUAGUCUCAAAGCCCAGUAUGGAAAUAAUUCAGGGGAUUUCUAACAUAUAUCAUGGUCUUGUAGCAUCUUUUUAGGAUCCGACUCCACGGGCACUCUUUAUGCUCAUGGGACUUGGGCUUUGUGGUACUCUUUCCUACCAACCUAGUUCUAAACUCCUGGAGGGUGGGAAUCAUCUUCAAAUUGCUUAGCUGCCAUGCAGAGCACAAUACCAUGCUCACUGUAAGUCAGCUGUUAAGUAGUCUAGCAUGGCCUUUAUUUUAAUCAUCCUUCUUCCAAUUUUCCCAGGGAAGUAGGAAUAAUAGCUGCCAUUUAUUGAGCUCUUACCACGUGCCAGGCACACACCUGACACUUUACUUGUACAAACUCAUCUGGUCCUUGCAACGACCCUACAGAAUAUGCGCGAAUAUCCUCUCCAUGUUACAGAUGAGGAACCUGAGACGCAGAGAGAUUUAAGUAACCUGCCUGAUGUGACAUUGCUAAUAAGUGAAGGAGCUGAGUUGUACAGCACAGCAGAGGAGCUCUGGAGUCUGGGCUCCUUUUUUCCAAGCAUUUAUUGUAUUACUAAUAGAAGAUACUUUUUUUUUUUUUUAGAGAGAGAGAGACAGAGAGC